ensembl:snoRNA
CACUCUGUGUGUUUUGUUGAACCUGUGGACAAAAACAAAUAGGUGUGAAAAACAAAUCCCCUUUGCAACUCAGAACUCAUUGUUCAGUAUGAGUUUGGGUCCACAUAAGAAGGAAAGUU